GAUACAUCUGACCAGCAUAUUAUUGAUGUGGUGCUAAGAAUGUUGCAAGAGAGGCUGGCAGCGGUAGCAGUGAGCGCUAAAAGGGCUGUGCUUGGUGGAGCUGGUGUCAUGGGAACCCCCCGGCCCUCCUGGACCUCUGUGAUCAACGGGUCCACAAGGACCACAUGAUUUGCCUGGUUCUCGAAGAAUUCCUGGGAUGAUAGGAGCUGAUGGACAGAUCGGAAACAAAGGUCUUAAAGGUAGUCGGACACAAUGGGCCUGCCCGGGAUAUCUCGUGGUGUCGGCUCCGCUUGUGUUGCCCUUUGUGGAUCUUGGGGAGCAUAUAGAUUCUGCGGGGGCCGGGGGCCGAUUCGCUCAAGAGAUAAGUCUUUUGUUUUGCAUUAAUGAAUCAUUUUUGUAAUACAUUCUUAAUUAUGUUUUCUAUCAUAGGAAUAGUUUCGGGGUAAAUGACUGCGGAGGGCCUCAGUUUUGUACCGCGUCAGGUUGGGCGAGACCGCGAGGGCGCAGCCCGACCGGAGCGAUGGGUGCUCAUCCGCCAGGACCAGCGUCUGGAACUCUGGAGGUAGCAGUCCUGGUCGUAUUUCACCUGAUGGUGCCACUCGGGACUGAGGCUGGUGGACGGGACGAAACUGAGGCCUUUGUCGAGGAGGGAGAGCUGCGAGGAGGUAAGUAUGAAGUUUCUGACCAGGUUCACAACUUUUCUGUAAGGUUGCAUACAAC